rnacentral:rRNA from 1 species
AGUGAACGCUGGCGGUAGGCCUAACACAUGCAAGUCGAACGGCAGCACAGUAAGAGCUUGCUCUUACGGGUGGCGAGUGGCGGACGGGUGAGGAAUACAUCGGAAUCUACUUUUUCGUGGGGGAUAACGUAGGGAAACUUACGCUAAUACCGCAUACGACCUACGGGUGAAAGCAGGGGAUCUUCGGACCUUGCGCGAUUGAAUGAGCCGAUGUCGGAUUAGCUAGUUGGCGGGGUAAAGGCCCACCAAGGCGACGAUCCGUAGCUGGUCUGAGAGGAUGAUCAGCCACACUGGAACUGAGACACGGUCCAGACUCCUACGGGAGGCAGCAGUGGGGAAUAUUGGACAGUGGGCGCAAGCCUGAUCCAGCCAUACCGCGUGGGUGAAGAAGGCCUUCGGGUUGUGAAGCCCUUUUGUUGGGAAAGAAAAGCAGCAGGUUAAUACCCCGCUGUUCUGACGGUACCCAAAGAAUAAGCACCGGCUAACUUCGUG